rnacentral:rRNA from 1 species
UACGUAGGUGACAAGCGUUAUCCGGAUUUAUUGGGCGUAAAGCGCACGCAGGCGGCCAUUCAAGCCUGACGUGAAAUCUCUCGGCUUAACCGGGAGCGGUCGUUGGAAACUGAGUGGCUUGAGGCGAUGAGAGGGGUGUGGAAUUCCCGGUGUAGUGGUGGAAUGCGUAGAUAUCGGGGGGAACAUCAGUGGCGAAAGCGGCACCCUGGCAUUAGCCUGACGCUCAUGUGCGAAAGCGUGGGGAGCGAACGGG